AAUAGAUACCCCGGUAGUCCUAGCUGUAAACGAUGGGCACUGGGUUGAGGGGACUUCCACAUCCUCUCGGCCGUAGCGAAAGCGUUAAGUGCUCCGCCUGGGGAGUAUGGCCGCAAGGCUGAAACUCAAAGGAAUUGACGGGGGCUCACACAAGCGGUGGAGGAUGUGGCUUAAUUCGAGGCUACGCGAAGAACCUUAUCCUAGAUUUGACAUGGUUGAGAAUCUCCUUGAAAGAGGAGAGUGCCCUUCGGGGAGCUCUUUCACAGGUGCUGCAUGGCUGUCGUCAGCUCGUGUCGUGAGAUGUUGGGUUAAGUCCCUUAACGAGCGAAACCCUUAUCUUUAGUUGCCAGCGGGUCAAGCCGGGGACUCUAAAGAGACUGCCGGUGUCAAACCGGAGGAAGGUGGGGAUGACGUCAAGUCCUCAUGGCCUUUAUGUCUAGGGCUGCACACGUCCUACAAUGGCACGUACAAAGGGAAGCCAAGCCGCGAGGCCGCGCUAAUCCCAAAAAGCGUGCCCCAGUUCGGAUUGCAGG
rnacentral:rRNA from 1 species